GAGAAACUACGCCACCUCCCCUGCAGCCGAGAGCACGCAGCACCCUAGUGUGACAAGUGGGCGACGUCGGGGGGGCAGGGAGCGAGGGUCCUCGACUGUGGCCAGCGGACCCCACCGCCCACCGCCCGGAGGCCAACUUUUAGUCGGCAGCCCCGCACCUGUCUCCUGAGGCUCCAUCGCUCCUCGUGAUCAUCCGAGGGAAAUUCUCGAAGAACUUGCUCCACGAAUCUACGUGCGCAUCAUUUUCCCUCUGGCGCCGGGCUCGGGAGGAAGGAACCAGAAAGGGAUCGCAGCGGCGUGUGCGCAGCCCAGAGACAACACUGUGGGGAGCAUUGCUGUGCUGUAUUUUUCUUGCUCGAAGGACUGUGUCUGUCGAGGAGCUUCCUGGAAUGGAACUGCUUAUUCACCGGCCAUGUGCACAUUGGGGGGAUGUGUGCUGCCAAAGUCCCCUCAAGGUAGUUGAUGCGUGCUUUCAAAGUCAAGUGCAGUUCACCGUGUAUGGGCAGUGCUCCAAAACUUUGUUAAAGGAGCAUCAUAAAGUUAAUUCUAGUCAAAAAGUUUUAAUAUAGAAAAGUAACAGAGGCAGGGGUUACAGCUCCAUGGUAGAGUGCCUGCCUGGUAUGCAUGAGGCUCUGGGUUCGAUCCCCACCACUCCCAAAAGAAGAGGAAAAAAAAAAAUAGCAGAAGUCAUGGCUUCUACCUUAAAUAACUUCAACCUAGUUUUGGAAAUCAGGUUGAAAAACGCUAAAAAAUUCUCACGUGGUAGUAGACCUGGAGUUGAGCCUGAGAGACAGUGCUGAGUGGAGAGGACCAGCAAGGGCAUUGCAUGUAGCCCAGGCCACAGUGACGAACAGUGUCACUGUGUCAGGGAGGUCAGUGACAUAAGCAGCCUCGACCGAAAUGGCGUUUGUGUUCAAAGAUCCAACCAGGGCCCUAGGCAGACGGCUGUGAGAGGAGACCUGAAGUCAGACUUGGGAUUGGAUGCACAUGGCAGCAGUGUCCUCUGAGCCAGUGGUCACUUGCUGUGUAGCAGACUCCCUCAGAUGUAGCAAUUUCAAACGGUAGCACGUUUACUAGCUCUAAAGGCUUUUGUGCUCAGGUAGCCGGGAGCAGGUUACCAUGGUAUUUGGGGCUUGGGGUCUUUUCUGAGGCUGAAGUCAAAACAUUAGCCAGGCUGCAGUUGGGAGGGUGUGGCUGGGCUGGAGGAGCCACUUCUGUGCCAGUUGUUGGUAGGAGGUCUCACUUCCUCCCUGUGUGAGUCUCUGCAUGGGCUGAGUAUCUGUUCUGGCAGCUUCACUCUCCAGAUCCACCCAGGCAAACAAACAAGGCAGAAGCUCCAAUGCCCUUGGACCUCACCCGGGAACCAGCACACCGUCACUCUUGCCAUACUGUAUUCCUUAGAUGCAUGCUGUAAAUUAAGCCUAAGUUCAGAAGUUUCACCUUUUAAAGAGGGUGUAUCAGGUGGGCACAGUGACUCAUGCCUGUAAUCCCAGCACUCAGGAGGCAGAAACUGGGAGGAUCUUGGGUCAAGGCCAGCCUAAGCAGAAAGUUAACAAGACUCCACCUUGA
ensembl:lncRNA